rnacentral:misc_RNA from 1 species
UACGGAGGGGACAAGCGUUGUCCGGAAUCAUUGGGUUUAAAGGGUGCGUAGGCGGGCAGUUAAGUCAGGGGUGAAAGUCUUCCGCUCAACGGGAGAACUGCCAUUGAUACUGAUUGUCUUGAGUUAUUAUGAAGUGGUUAGAAUGAGUAGUGUAGCGGUGAAAUGCAUAGAUAUUACUAGGAAUACCGGUUGCGAAGGCAGAUCACUAAUAAUAUACUGACGCUGAUGGACGAAAGCGUAGGUAGCGAACAGG